GUCUGGAUAGCUCAGUUGGUAGAGCAUCAAACUUUUAGUCUGAGUGUCCAGGGUUCAAGUCCCUGUUUGGGUG
rnacentral:tRNA from 1 species